rnacentral:lncRNA from 1 species
UGUCUAUCGGGACAUCGCAGUGGUUGUCACAGGCUUGAAGGGAGUAUCGGGUCGUGACAUGAUCCUUGUAGAAAUGGGACAUGACAGGGGGCUAUUAGGGUGGUUUUUUAAAGGAUCCAACUUCCUUUGUUAUUGAGGUAAUAAGGUCUAAUCAUAUGGUUAUAUCCUCAUUGUUAUUUUAGUGCUCAAAUCAGCAAGAAAAAAAUCUUUGAAGGGUACGGUGCGUUUUUGUUUGUUCAUUUUCUUCCGCUGUGAUUUUAUUUAACAUGAAGUGGAUCCUUGGAGACAAUAUCCUCGAUGUCUUUUACCACAAAUAGAACAUGAUGAUCUAUCUUGAUGAGACUAUGUAGUAGUCUACUUCCUAGGUGGUUUGGCAGCCUUUUUACCCUUCUGAAGACUAUCAUCAAAGCCACUCCCCUGCUAGGAUGUUUGUGAAUCCCUAUGUUGGCCUUGUUGGCACUUUUUCUUAGCCAUCUUGGGCUUAUCUCCUCUAGUCCUCAUCUCUUUCAUCUUAAGUCUUUAAGCACGGUUCACUACCUCAGAGUAGUUGGUGAACUCCUAGGGUGUUAUAGUGUUGUAUAGUGGCUAUACCAAACCAUUAACAAACCUUAGGACCCUCAUCUCCUCUGUAGUAUGAAAUCCCACCUUGAGUGAGAGGAUAAGCUAGGCGAUAACUGUAACACCCCGUAACCUUGUUUAGCAGUCAAUAAGACCCUAUAGACAAGACGAAGGGUCACUUGAUGUAAAUUUAAAUGUCAAAAAGCGGUUAUGGGUGAGAAAAAUAUUUUAAAAUAAAAUAUUAUUUUACAAAUAAAAUAAUAUUAAAAUAUGAAUAUUUUAUUAAUUAAGGGAAUCAGUUUGAAGAAGGAUUAUUUGAUCAAUUUAAGUGGGGGAGAAGAAAAACGAAUGAAUUUUGGAGAUAAAUGACGUAAAUGAGACUUGUGUGUUUUAUUAAAUCGAGCUAGUGCAGGUAAAUAAAUAUUUAAAUAUUAUGGUGAUACCGCGUUGAAAUGCAACUUUGAUAUUUUGGUUGUAUACGUGUAAAGGAGGAAAGAUAGAAGGAAAUUAGAAUUUUUAAACGUGUCGGAAGGACCAAAUUUUAAAAUAUGAAAGUUGGAGGGUUGUGUAGUAAAUAAAAUGAAGUUAAGGAUUUACAUGUAAAUUUUAAUAUUUAGAGGGAAUAAAAUAAUAAAAAGAAUUGGGAGGUGGUAGAUGGGAGUGAAGAAAAGUCAAAGACAAGUAAGUAAAAAAAAAAAAAAGAAAGAAGAUGAAGUAAAGAGGUAGGGGCUGGCCAAGUAAACCAUAAAAGGAAUAAAAGAUGUAGUGGCCAGCCAAAACAAUAAAGAGUGAAGAAAAAAAAAUAAAUAAAGAAAAAAGGGGACAUGACAAGCAAGCUUGUCAUGUCCGGCUUUCCCAAAAAAAAUAUGCAGUCAUGUUAAGCAAAAAUUUUGCCUUUUACCCUUUACAUUGGCGGUGUAGGAGGGAAAGAAAAAAGGAGGGAGAGCUGGUGAAAAAAAAAAAUUAUUUUCUCUUGGCUCUGUCAAUAGCCACUUAUGGAGCAAAUAAAAAGGGAAAAAAAAGUUGAUUUUGAGGGAGGAAAGAAAGAGCUGUGUUGCUGGGUUUGAGAGAAGAAAGAGAGGUUGUGUUAUUGCUAGUUUGUGAAGAAAGAUGGAGGCUGUGUUGGCUGCCAAUUUGAGAAGGAAAAAGAGGGGGCUGUAAGCUGCUAGUGGAGAGGAUGGAGCUUGGGUAUUCGUCGCCGGCUAGAGAGGAUAGAGCUUGGAGUAGUUGCCAUCAGUUUAAGGCAAAGAAAAAGCCCAAUCGGCGGUAAAAGAGAUAGAGAGAAGGCAAAUCGGGCGGUGCAAGUGAGGAGGAGGGAAAGGUCGACCAGCUAAAAAAAAAAAAGAAAAAGAAAGAAAAGAAGUGAAGAAGAAAAAGAAAUGAAAUGAAAAAAAAAUGGGCAUAGCCCAAUAAAAAAAAGGGCAUGGCCCAAUAAGAAUAAAUGGGAGGAGCCCAUGGAAAGGGCCCAAUGGCAACAAGGAAAGAAAAGUGCAAAAGAGAAAAUAAACGUGAAGACUUGGGCUUACUUAGCCCAAUUUAGGAAGUGCCUAAGCAAGAUAGGGCACUAUAAUGGCAUGUCGGAAGAGGUGACGAUUGACUAGCAAGUUGAAAUAGCGACGUAGCGUCCCGUUAUUGUGAGGUGAGUGGGUGCUAAAUUUUAAAACUAUAUUCCUGUAACAUAUUAUAUAUGUUACACUUGAUAGUUGACGAAAUUGUGGACAACAUGAGUUAGUAGAAAGCCUUAGGUUGUUUGUGUUUGUGACACGGAUUUUAAAUUCAUUUUUUUUAUAAUAUAUAAAAAUAUAUAUACGUACAUGUUUUUAAAUACGGGGAAACAAACCUUUGACUAGCUUUCACUUCAAAAUCAUACCUUGCAAGUUUGUGUGAUGUUUAGGCCAAUGGCCUUUGUAUUGAUUUAUAAAACUUGAUGAUAAAUUAUUUAUUUCACUUAGCAUGCUGAUUUGGUAAAUAUGCCAUGCUUUGAAAUAAGUUAUGCAUAACAUUCAUUUUCUGAUUAUACGGCUUUUAAUCUGUCAUGUUAUGUAAAUGUAUUAAAUUGCAAUGAUUUUAUUUUAACAUGAUUGAGAUACUCUGGGUAGGACUUGUUACCACACCAAGUCAAGUGUGGUCUUUGUGCACAAAAUAGUAAUUGUCGAUUAUUGAUAUUUAAUUUAAAAAGGGGGACCUGAAGCCUCAAUUUAUAUAUGGUGGCAUGGGUAGUUCCUACGAGUAGGUAAAGGGGGACAUGAAGCCUCGAUUUAUAUAUGGUGACGUGGGUAGUCCCCAUGAAUAGGUAAAAGGGGACCUGAAGUCCCGAUUUAUAUAUGGUGGCAUGGGUAGUUCCCACGAGUAGGUGACAAUGUCUGAGAGAGUAAGCCUAAGGGCUAUAUUAAGCCUACCCGAGGAUGAUACUCACUUGUAGAUUUUAUUACACAAUGCAUGGCAUUAACACUUGAAUUUUACUAAUGAAUGGCAAGUGAAAUUUACAUAUUUAUUGGUGAUCAGUUAUUUCACAUUUUUAUGUUUGAGAUUCUUUAUUCUACACUCGCCAUUGGAUUCACUAUUGACUGGAUAUGAAAGUUGAAAGAUUUUCUAGUACCUUAAAUAGAACAAUUUUCAUAUAUGUUUACUUGUGAUUCAUUAUUUUUAAGACUCGCAAGGUAUAAAAGUAAAAUCUCUCAGUUUAAUGGAGUGUGUUUUCUACGCUUACUCUUCGAUUUAUAAACAUUCCAUCUUUAUGUUUGUUUCCCCUCUUCGCCUACUCACGGGGUCGAUGAUGAUCAUUGAGUCAAUGAGACUCACACCCCUCUUAUUUUCCCAUUUUACAGAUAGAGAUAAGUCUAGUGUGUAAUCAUCAAUGCAUACGGUCCACUACAGAGUAGGUAAACGCAUAUUCUAGCCCCGCUCCAAGUCGCUCCGUUAUUUUGGGUUGUGUUAGAACGAAAUUUGCUAGAUGUUGAAAAAUGUUGUUAACUUAUAAACGUGAAUUGUUAUUAUUUUGAAUAGAGUAGAUAGUAAUUUAAUUAUUAAUAUUCGCUUACGCUCGUGAUUAUAUGUAUUUAAUAAAUCUAGUAGAAGUUAUUGGUAAUUUCUCUUAUUGUUUUGUAGGAAAUUUGAUGAAAUAGGCUCAUUUGAUGAAAAUCUGUGCAAGUAUGGUAAUGGCUUUAUUCAUAUAUAUUUUGGUAUUUUGAUCAUAUCUCUCUCUACAAAACUCCAAAUGAGGUGAUUCUUCAACCACUAGAAUUCUAAGAGGAAGGGCUAAAACCUUUAUGUUUACCACUCUGCCCAGUUCUGAUUGGAUCAUGGUCAAAAUAUAUGUCUAAGUUGAAGCACUAUAGCAAUAUGCAUGGACUGAACAUCAUAUAGUAUUUGGAGCAUAUCUUUCUGUCACGACCCAAAUUCCGGGCCAUGACCGGCACAACCAAUGGACGUAAUCCACUAAACCCAAGCAAGCCUAUUAUUUAUCUUACUUAUAAUUCCAUCUAAUAUCACUAAGUUAUAUUUCAUAAUUUUGAAUCAAAAAAGUGAUAUACAUUGCCAACUCGUACUGGCAUUACUCCUUAAAAAUUUACAUACAAUGUCUACAACAUGUAUUCUAAUAAUUUACAUUAAGUUCGUCUAUACAAAACAAAAUAACACUCGACUUUCAGCGGAGUGACUCGGAUGAAUAUACAGCUACCGAAUGCCGAGACACCUACCAAAAGAUGGACACAGGUCUACAAAGACACCUCGUCCUAGUUACCAGCUGCCUCAUGAUUCGAAAACAUGAAUUUGAAAAUGGUGAGUAUAAACCAAGUGAGUGAACAAGGAAGGGAGCAACAACAACAAGGGAGAAUUUAAAAUCAUGAUGCACUUGUUUCAAAACAAAGCAAUUUAGUUCCAUUCAUAUUAAAAGCCCCUCAUUUUAAACUUAACUCAUUUUGUCCUAAAUGUUGGAAGUCCAUGCUCAGAUAUGGUAGCAAAGAAGUGAAAAAUAGUGCAGCAAUUGGACAAGAUAGGAGACAAAAUAGAAAGUUUUUCGCUGCAGCGAAAUUGUUACCCAGAAACAUAAAGUUUUUCGCUGCAGCGAGAAUGAAUUUCGCUGCAGUGAGUUUUUGGCCAGUCUACCCCUCCAAACCUGAGAGUUUCUCGCUGCAACGAGAACCAGUUUUGGUGAAAGGUCCUUAAACCCGAGAGUUUCUAGCUGCAGCGAGCAUGAAUUUCGCUGCAGCGAAAACAGAGCAACAAGAGAAACAUUUUGCCUCACUUAACAAAAAGCCAUCCUGCUAAACUAACAAAAUCAACAUAAAACUCAUGAAAAUUCUCAAAGUACAAUGUGUCAAAUUUCACAUUUAUGUCAACCAUAUAUCACAUUCAUGAGCUUUCAUUUCAUAAAUCUAGAUAUGCAUAAUUACAUAGACAAACAUCAAUAUCAUCAUAAUCACUCCCGACACAUGUACAUCCCCCCACAUCGUGCACAUAGCCGGCACCAUCACGUGCAUCCCCCCACAUCGUGCACAAUCAGUGCUAUCGUGUACAUCCCCCCCACAUCGUGCACACGGGCACUAUCAUCAUCUAUCUCUCACUCCACCAUCAUCACUGACAUGUGCAUUCUCCACAUCGUGCGCACACAAGGUUACAGUCAUUAUAUACAAUAUCAUUCAUCAUGCACAACACACAUAUAUAUAUAUAUAUCAUCAUAAUACAAUAGUGCAUGAAUCCAUAGCAAUCACAUAUUACAACAUAAAACCAUUUUUCAAAAGCUUGUUCCCAAGGCAUUUGUUUUCAUGAAAAACUUGAUAAUUCAUUCAAAUGGGUGGCAAUUACAUAUAUUUCCCAAAACAAGUUCUGAAGGCAGUCCACUCACAGGUGUCGAAAAUUCGGAUUCCAGGUGCACUAGGACUAAUAGUCCUCAAGCGCAAUUCUUUUGCCUUUUUCGGACGUCUCACUACCUUGACAAAUAACAAAGUCGAGGAAUUUACUAUAUUGUCCCUAAAUUGAUAUAAACUAAUUUAAAUUACUAAUGCUUGAUAUGUAAAUGCAAAAAUACGUCCGAUUACCGCUUAAUCGCGGUAUCGAUUAAAUUCGACCGAUCACCCAAUUAAUUAGCGAUUGUGUCCAAAUCACCUCCAAAUUAAUCCAUUUCUCCUCUAAUACCUUAAGUUACCACAUACCAUUUAAAUAAAGCCAAAUUCAGCAUUAGAACCCUCACAAUUCCUUAUAUAAAAAUUUGGUCAUUUGGUGCACUAGCACCAAAAUUUUUUUCUACAUAACCGUUUCACCUAAUUCCUCAUUUUCCAAGCCAUUUUCCUUGAAAUAAAAACAAUCCCCCAUUGAUAGUCAGCCCUCAUGGUUCGACCAACAAGGAACCCUAGAGAAAUUGAAUAUUUCUUUUGUGUUUUUGUUCAUAACCAUGCUUAACUAUCCCUAAACACUAACAUAGUCUAAAAUCAAAUUAUUCCAACAACAAUUCCUCUUCCAUACCCAUUUUUCAGAAUUGAAUUCAUCAUGAUAACUCAAUAUUCAACCAUGGAAAUCAAGAACAAAAGCAUGGGUAAGCUAGGUAUCAAGGAGAAUUAAAGAAAUUUUAACUUACCUAGCUUGUUUCCUUGAUUUCUUCACUUUUUCUUUCAAUUUCCACCUAGGUUUUCUUGUUUUUCCCUUUGUUCUUCCUUUGUUCUUGUUUCUGGUUGCCUAGGCUGAAUAUGGUGAGAGAAUUGGGGAUUUAAUGGGCUGAUUUCUAUAGAAAAUAAUAAAAUAAUCAAGCAUGCCACGUGUCACAUGCUUAUUGGUCCAAUUUUUUUAACUUUUUGACUUUUUCUUUUAAUUUUCCUCUACAAAUAUUAUGGUAUUUAUCCAAUCCUACCACAAUUAAAAUCCCUUGGUCUUGACAAGUGCUGGGGGGAAAAAUUUACCGAUUUGCCCCCGAGAUGAAAAAAUUACGAUUUUGCCCCUAUACUCUGAAAUGUACCAUAAUCACAUUAUUUCUACUUUUCAACGUCAAAUAACACUAAUAUUGAUCAAUAUUAACAAAAUGGGGCAAAAAAAUUAUUUUAUAAAAAUUCUCAUUUAGUCCUCUAGUGCUCUAAAAAUACCGAGAAUUAUAAUUUUUCACUGCUAAACAUCAUUUUAUACUCCAAUAAUCAUAAUUAUAUUUGAUAUAAUUAUUCUUGGUCAAAUGUGAUCAAAUCUUGGCUAAAAAUCUCCAUUUUAUCAUCAAAUGGUAAAAUGAUCGUUUUGUCCCUAAUCAAUCAAUUUUCCUGAUGGACUCCAAACUGAACCUUGAACUCCAAAUCACUAUUCUAAGUCAUUCUGUGGGUUUUAGAAUUUUCAAAUUUCUCUUAGAAUUUCUAUUUGAACUAGUUCAAGGCUCAAUUUAACUUAGUUAUACCACUCGAUACAAUACCAUCUUUUAAUCGGGCUUGACAGGGUCUCACACUUUCAAUCCAAAAGUCUAAUUGAUUUGAUUCUUAAGCCAUUGGAAAGUUAAGAGACAUGGAUAAAACUUUCUUGUUUAUCACGUUUCCUAGUUCAGACCAGAUCAUGGUGAAAAUCACGUUCGAAAUUGAUAGACCAUUGUAGCACUAGGAGAACAAGGCUGCAGUGCUGGUGAAAAGAAGCACACAACACAUUUUCCCAAGAGCUCAAUGCUUCAGUGCUGAAGAAGUAACACCGCAACGUUGGAUGAUUUUCCAAAAAUAAAAAAUUUGACAGGAUUUUGGAAAUUAGGUUACUUGGAGCUUAUUUAAGGGACCUUUUUUAGAGAUUUUAAACAAGAUGCAGCAAGCAACUAUUCUGGAGAUUUGAAGCUAAGAACAAAGCAAGAAAACAAGAGAAUUUGAGAGAGAAUAGAGAUUGCAAAGCUUCAAUAAUUAGUUUCUUUCUCUACUUUUAUGUUUCUUUUAUUUUCUUUGACUUGGAUUCAUGGAUAAAUUUCUUUGGAUGUUGUUUUUAUUAGUUAUUAUGAGCUAAAUUAUCUUUCUAGGAUUGUGGAGGAUUUCAACAUGUAGUUUGAACAUUAGUUUCUCUUUUAUUUAUCAUGAAUGGGUCUAGUUUUGCUUAUUGAAAUAUGUUCUUAAUGCUUUUGAUUGCUUGGCCAACAAUUAACCAAUUUUUGAAUCUAUUUGGGACUUGAUAGAGAGAUUUUAGAUUGGAUUAAGGUUUGAACAGUGUAUGUUCACAUUACUUAGGUGAUCUGAUUCACGAUUCGAGUAGACAUACACCAAUUGCUAUACAUAGCCACAUUAGGACACUUGCUUAAUGAACUUAAUUUAAUUGAUUCCUAUAGACAUGUAGUAAACUAAUUAAGUUAGGUAUUUGUACAAGUAACUUGAUAGAGACUUGUCCAUAGCUUUGGAUUCUAGGUUAGUAAAACACCCAAGAAAGAUAAAUAACAAGAAAAGCUAGUCUCAGAUGAAAUGUUGAAUGAACCCAUAAUCCUAGGUCUUUAAUAUACUUCUUUUCUCAACUUAUUUAGUUUGUUAGUUAAUUUAAUGUUUAUUUAAAUUUUGUUUAAAUUAAUUUGUAAUAAGAUUUUAGUACUUAGUAAAAAUUGAGGAACAAAUCUUUGUUGCAACGAUACUCUACUUCAUCACUAUAUUACUUGUUCGAUAUGUAUACUUGCAUGUGCAAAAUCAACAACAUUAAGAAAUCCUUAGAUCGGCAUAUAGAUGACAUAUUUUGAAUAUCAAACUUAGUUUUAACCUUCAAAAGGAUUCAUUGACACUUUUGGUUAAUUGUCAAUUUAAAGGAAAAAAUUUUUUAAGUCUAGAACGGGUCAAAAUAUGUAAUUUAUAUAGAACAAUAUUUUGGAAACAAAAAUUGGCGGUAAUGAUUCCCUUGAUUUUUAGAUGAUCAAAAAUGAUUUUGCCAAAAUUUUUUUAGUACGUUUGCUAUGGCAAAUGGGAACCGCAAAUUUAAUUUUAGUCAAACUUUUUCAAUUUUGUUCUUGAAACCAAAAAUUAAAUUUUUAUUCUUUUGGAUUUUUUUUUUUUAUAUUUUUAUUGAAUCAAAAUGGGGGGUUGUUUGCUUAUUUACAUUGAAUAUCUUAAGUAAAUGGAGAGUAAAAAGUAAAAAUGACACCAUUUUUAUAAUUCUAAAGCUUAGUUUUUGGUUUUUAUGGAAAAAGAUGACAUUUUUAUCUUCAAAAUCUUUUGGUCUUGGAUUUCCAGAACUUAAAUAGUUGUUUUACUGCCCAUAAUUUUUGUUAGUGAUUAAAGCUUAAAGGUUUUCUAAUUUUCUGAGCAAUCUAAGUGCACUUAAGGUAAGGAGGAAAGAUUUAUCAGUUUCUAAGCAUGAGUUUUAGCUAGAAAAUUAGUUUAGCUUAAAGCGAGUAGUUUCAAAAGUGCCUAGAAUGAUUAUUACGAGAUUAUUAUUCUAGGAAAUGAUUGUGAUGAUUGUUGUAUGAUUGGAAUACUUGAAAACUCCAUGGAUUUUGCCGAAACGGAGUUGUGAUUGGAGCUAAGAAUCGAAUCUCCAACUAGGUGAGUGGAUACACCACUUUCAAAUUAUUUUGAUAUUAAAGCUAGCAUAAUUUCUAUGAAAAGGAUUAUGUAUGUAUGUUGAAAUGAUAUCACUGAAAUGGUUUAUCAAAGGAUUUGAGUUUCAAGAUUGAAACAAUGAUUUUCUAAGAAAAAUAAAUAAAUUCUUAGUGAUUGUGAUAUGAUUGAAACAAUGGUUUACAAAUUAUUUACAAAUCUACUAUGUAUGUAAAUAUUCUAUUAUGUAUUAGUUAUCAACAAAGGGGAACAUGCACCUUAUAUUUGAAGUCCACUUGAUUACUUCAGUCUUCGAACUAGUGUGGGUACAAGAUAUUGUAUACUUAUUUAUAGAUGUUAUAAUGUGCAUGUCUGGUAUGAUGAAUGCCAUAUGAUUAUGUAUAUAAGGUAAAUUCCAUAUACCAUAUGAGGUGACUAAGUGUACAUGAUAAAUACCAUGAGAUUAUGUAUAUGAUGUAUAUUCCAUAUACUACAUGAGAUUAUUGAGAAAGCGCGAUGAAUGCCAUGAGAUUAUGUAUAUGAUGCAUUUUCCAUAUACUUUAUGAGAUGAGUAAGCUUGUAUGUGACGGACAUUCCACAUUCCUAAUGCUACAAGUAUGAGAACUCUAUGAGUGUGAUUGAUUCCACUAUCAUGGGGCGCAAGUGAUGACUUCACUCCUAUGAUACAUCAUAAACGUCCAAGGUACAAUGGGACUAUACAUUGCCAACCCAAGGCUGAUAGGGGACAUACCAUCACAAAGUAUGAGUUUAAUGUUAAUGGAAUGAUUAUAAUUAUUAUGUUUAUGGCAUGUUGCAUAUUAAUGUUGUUUGAGUAUUGCUCAUGAUCUGUACUCUGUGAUGACAUGAAAAUGUGCUUAGUGUAGAAGACUGAGCCUUAGAGAAAGUCCCAAGAGGUGGGUGAACUUAAAGAAUGGUAAAAAUGGAGGAUUUUGCCUAAACUUUGGGUUUUAGGCUGAAAGUAUUGAUGCAUAUGGGUUAAGUAUCGAUACAUUCUAAAUAAAAUGCUUUUGGAGGCAUUUUUUGUGAAAUGUAUUGAUACAUUUUACUAAUUAUUAAGACUUCAUUCAAUGAAUCAAUGAAGUAUCGAGACUUCACUGUAACUCUCGAUAUCUCAUAAGUGUAGGAGAAAAGUAUCCAGACUUCAUAAUCAUGCCUCGAUACUUCUCACAGGGUAGCCAAACAUAAAAGCAUCUUUUAUUUUACAAUUAAUAGCAUGGCACCUAGACUCUCUUUGCUUGAUACUUCUUCUUAAAUGGCUAUGCCUAUUUGGAUUGAAAACAUGAGACUUGUAUUAAUUUGGAAUUUGAAUCUUUAAUGGAUAUUGAUUUUGAUAUUGGUUUGAAGAAAACCAACUUCAAUUUGGAAAUGUAUUUGAUUUAAUAAUUGAACUUUGGGUAUACGAAUAUGAUGGAUUAUAGACUUGGUUAAGGACUUAAAACUAUGUUCUAAGUCGAGAAACUAGGUUCUAGGGAAAAUGUAUGGAUACUUUUAAGAGAAUUAUCAAUAUUUGUUCUUCACAGAUUCCAGAAAUUGCAUUUUGGAUGAAAUGUAUCGAUACAUUGAGCUUGCAUUCUGUAACGACCCAUUCCUCGAUAGCCACCGACGUCUGAGUCUUGCGACAGAACCCGCCAAGUCCCAAACGGGCCUUAUUCGAAACUCUUGUUAAUACAUUAUAUUGAUUCCACCGAUCUAUGUAAUCUCUGUUAACCAUAUAACUCUUUGUAAUAUGAUUUGAACAAAAAGUCGUAAUAAAUCAACUUAACCUUUAUUCCUCAUAAUUGUAAAAAUACAUCAAGGUUUAUAAUCUCCAAAUGUACAUUCGUACUAACAUUAAUGACUAUUUUCAUAAACUAAUACACUAUGAUGAUUCGAGUUCUAGUAGUAGAGUGACUCGGAAUAAAGUGCUAUGAGAUGCCUUUACCUAUCCGCAGUGGACAACGAGUGCCGAUGAAUGCAUGCUAGGCUGAUCACAAUCUUCAAAAGGGGAGAUAAGGGGGUGAGUCUCACAGACUCAGAGAUCAUCUGUGAGACCUCAACCUCUAUAGGCUUGUAACUAAGUAUAGAUGUAAUAAUACGAGCUAGGGGUAGUUUCGUUAUUUUCUCUAAUAAGCUUCCAAAAGAAAGUUUUAUGAUAUUUUAAGGCUUCAAUGGGUAUAAGACUACGUAAAUGAUGUGUGCUGAUGAAAAUACGAAGAAAACUAAAAGUUUCAAAAAUUUUCAUAACAGGGGCAAAAUGGUCAUUUUUCACCUCGGGUUAAAAUUUUAAGUUUUUAUGAACCCGAACGUGUCUAGACCAUUAUGUAUCUUAUCCCAGUGUUAAAAGAGCAAAAAGAUUGCAUAAAAGGUUGGAGGAGAAUAAGUUAAUUAGUGGAGGGGUAUUUUCGUAAUUUUAAGGAAAAGGAUAAGAUUGGCUUAUAAAUACCUUGAAUUUCCAGCAGCUUGUCUUCUUCUUCUUCUCCUCUCUCACGUUUUUUCAAAACUCCAUGGAAGCUUGAUUUGAAGCUUGAAUGAUUUUCUCUCUCUAGCUCUAGUUUUCACACCUUUGAACCCUUUUGACUAGAACCUUUGAAUUCUUUCAUCCUCUCACUUUAAAACCCUUGAUAAAGCUUAUUUCCAGACUUUCUCUCACUAGUUGGGCAUUUUAGAGAGAGAAAGAGAGAAUUACCCUAUUGAUUUGGAAGUAAUUGGAAGAGAAUUGACUACAAAGGAGCCCUAGGGUAAGUGAUGAACUAAGCUCGAUUUUUAGCUGCAGAAAAUGGCUAGUAAUUGGUUUUUAUGAGCUGUUUUAUUGUUGAGUAUGUUCAUUACUUUUAGUGAUUAAGAUAGUGAACAUAGAUGGCCAUUUAAUGUGGCAAUUAAAAAUAAGCCAAGAGAUAGCUUUUAUAGUUCAUAGUGUGUAAAUUGAUCUAUUGUUUAUGUUAAUGUGAUCCUAGGUUUUAAGGAAGCCCCAUCAUCCCAUUUGGACAAUUAGGGGAAUUAGAGUCAUCUAAAGGCUCUACAAUCAUUUGGUGAGGGGACUGCCUUCAAAACUUAUUUUGGGAAUAUAAUGUAUUUGACAAAUGUUUGAAUGAUUUUAUAUGAUUUUUCAUGAAAAUGAAUGCCUUGGGAACAAGAUUUUGAGAAAUGAUUUAUGUUAUGAUAUGUGGUUAUUAUGGAUUUCUAUGUGGCUGCAUUAUAUUGAUAUACAUAUAUGCUUGAAUAUAAUGUUGUCUAAUUAUAUUGACUCCGCUAUGUGCGAGUAGGGAGUGCGCAUAAGUCGAGGAUGACUAGGUUAUGUGCGAGUAGGGAGUGCGCAUAACCCAGUGAUGACCCAGCCAUGUGCGAGUAGGGAGUGCGCAUGAGCUGGUGAUGAUGAUGAUGGGAUGGUGUGAUAAUGAUGAUGGGUAUAUGCGUAUAUAUAUAUAUACACAUAUGUAAAUAUGUGUGUUAUAAGAAAUUGAUGGAUAAUGGUUUAUAGUUGUAAUGCAUGUGAAACUUGACAUGUUAAACCUUGAGAAAUUGUUAUGUGUUUCAUAUUGGUUUUGAACAUUUCAAGCAGGGUGGUUUUCUUUGGGAGAAAGGGAAAUUUUCAUUUGAUGCCCUGUAUUUCGCUGCAGUGAGAAACUCUCGAGUUUUGAAAGGGUAGGCUAGCCGAAAACUCACUGCAGCGAGGAUGCAUUUUCGCUGCAUCGAGAAUGACACUGUAGCUUCUCGCUGCAGCAAAAUACAUUCUCGCUACAGCGAGAAACUUUCUGUUUCUGGGUAGCGAUUUCACUACAGCGAGAUUGAAUUUUGCUGCAACGAGAAACAUUCUAUUUCUGGGUUACAAUUUCGCUGUAGUGAAAAACUUUCUGUUUUGGUCUCCUAUCUUGUUCAAUUGUUAUCCUAUCUUUCACUUAUUUUCUACCAUAUCAGAGUAUGGACUUCCAACAUUAAGGAUUAAAUGAGUUAAGUUUAAAAUGAGGAGGUUUAGUGAGAAAUCCUUGUCCAAUUGAGAAACCCUCGUUCGGUUAAUAACUAAAUCCCAACGUCGCUGCAACGAAAAUUAAUUCUCGCUGCAGCUACACUGCAGCGAGAAUGCCUUUCCACUGCAGCAAAGAUUCGUUGUCGUAUUUGACUUGCUUGUGUAAUAUUGAAGUUUUCAUUCUUCAAAUGGUUUGUUAUGUAUGGGUCCUUGAUUUUCAAAUGAUUAAUCAUUUAAGGGCUUGAUGAGGGGUUUUUAAUAAGAAUAGAAACCAAUUGCAUUGUUUUGAAAAAGAAUGCAUCAUGAUUUCAUUAAAGAUUCCUUAUGGUAUGCUUGUUCCCUUCCUUGUUCACUCACUAGGUUUAUACUCACCAUUUUCAAAUUCAUGUUUUCAGAUCACGAGGCAGUCGGUAACUAGGACGAGGUGUCCUUAUAGACUUGUGUCCAUCUUUUGGUAGGUGUCUCGGCAUUUAGUAGCUGUACAUUCAUCCGAGUCCCUUCGCUGGAAAACGAGUGUUAUUUUGUUUUGUAUAGACAAACUUAAUGUAAAUUAUUAGAAUACAUGUUGUAGACAUUGUAUGUAAAUUUUUAAGGAGUAAUGCCAGUACGAGUUGGCAAUGUAUAUUACUAUUUUGAUUCAAAAGUAUGAAAUAUGACUUAGCGAUAUUUGAUGGAAUGAUGAGUAAGAUAAAUAGAUAGGCUUGCUUGGGCUUAAUAGACUACGUUUAUUGGGCCCUUGCGCCGGUCAUGGCCCAGAAAUUUGGGUCGUGACAUCAUCGGCUCCAUGAGCAAGGUGUAGAUGGGAAACAAGCUUAAAGCAGAUAAUUUGAAGGAUAAAACCAAAGUAUAAAAUGAUAACCUUAUAAAAACCAAAUAACAAGGUAUUUGUGCCUCGUAAAAAUAAUUCCGUAAAAAUCAUAAUGCAAUACUUUCCUUGGUAAACAAUGUCGAAAUCAAAAGUAAAAUAAAAUUUCAAUCAUUGAAAUCAUCUAUUUCUUUCAAAAGUACAAAUAGUCGUAUAAAACAUGCAUUCUCCCAAAGUGUGUGGCAUGUAAAAAUAAUCAUGUACAUCCACAUAUAUCAACUCAUGAUCAAUAUGUAAAGCACUAAAAACUUUCAAUUAAAAUAUGGGAGCUGCAAAAAACAAUAUUUCUCCAUCAUGCAAAAGAGUACGAGUCUAAAAACUCUCAAGGCUCUCGAAUAGGUAAUAGUAGUAAUCAACUCGUGGACCCACUUCCACAUAAUAACAUCUAGGAGGUCCCCUUUCACUGGAUUCCCACAACCAUGGUAGUCUCGACGAUGUUGGCCAACAUCGGAGAAAUCAUUUAGUCACAACCACGUAUAACGUAUAAUCACAAACCAUGGCCUAGCCACGUCUAACACCCCAUCGGCGACCCAAAAGGUUCUCUAGCUAGAGCUCACUUGUGCACAAGGGUCACACUAUCCUAAUGUGACAUUCAACCUACUCUCGAUGCUUUUAGUUUAUCAAAACUAUUUUCAAAACCAAAUCAAGGUUUCCAAGAGUUUUUCCAUAAAUCGUUUGAAAACAAGCUUCAGUAACCUUUCAAAAUUGCUUUUCACAUUAAAAUGCAUGGUGUAAAAUUUUCAUAAUGUUUGGACUAAAACCAUCUCUCAAGAAAUCAAAUUUAAGCCAUUUAUCAAGUGCAGUCAUCUAUGCACACCUCACAAAGAUUCAAGGCACUGUUUUGAUGCAAAGCAUUGCAAAAGGGCUUGUUUCCCAAUUUCUAAAACACUUUACAUAUAUGUACAUAUAUGUACAUAUAUGUAUAUAUAUAGUUUACACAAACAACUUUCAAAUCAAUUUGCAUCCACAAUUGCCUAUGUUUUCUACCAGCUCAUGCUUUCCACAAAAGCAGUGUAUAAAUCAUUGCAAACCAUGUAUUCAAAUUACUUAUCAUUUUCUAGCAACUCAUACUUUCCACAAAGGCAUUGGAUAAUAAUAUAUAUAUAUACUUUGAUAUAGUAAGAAUCUUUUAAAAAUGAAACCCCCUACUCACCUCUUUUGUCGGGAUAUUACUUCACCAAUUUAACUCUUUGUGUUCUUAAUCGAUCAAUAUCACUUGUCGUUUAACCGAUAUCCUUCUUAAUUUACACGCAUGGCAACAAUCCUUUACUUGUCAAUUUCCUGGCAGCAAUUAAAUCCAAGACACUUAGCAACUUUACAAUUUAUUCUAUGCCACACUUACUACCCACACUUAGCUUUAUGUUUUUAUAUCCCAUUUCAUCAUCAUUUUAAUAACCCAAAUCACGCUAAAAUCACCAUUCUUUCUCAACUAACCUUUGCAUACUUAUAUGCAUAUUGACAUAUUUUUACUAAUGGAACCCAUAUCCUUUACAUGCAUAAUUCUCUAUAUUACAUGUACCAGCAACUUAUUUAUAACAUUAAGUGCCCAUUUCAACCUUUCCAACCAACAUUCAUCAUAGUCCAUUUUAUAUUUUCAUUGCAUUAACCACAUAUAUGGCAGCAACAAUCAUUCCAAUCUUACUCAAUUAUUUCCAAGCUUACAUGCAUAAUUGUCUAUCUAACUUUCAAUGCUUUAUUUCUCAACCUUUCAUCCACAUUGUUCAUCUUUUUUUCUUUCAAACAACAUAGCAAGCAAUCUUAAAAUUUCUAACUAGCUCAUGCAUUUUUAGAUCUUUUCAACAAUCAUCAUUCUUCACAAUGUGUCUUCCAAGUUUUCAAUCAACACAACAAUAGCCAUUUUCUCAAAAUCUUCCAACUAUACUUAAAGCAUUAUUCAUUUUUACCUCUGAGGUUGCUUGAGCCUCACAUGCAUUCCAAUAUUCUUCCAAGUUUCAAUCAGCAAGCUGCCAACAUUAUUCAUAAAUUAUUUUCGUAGCAAUUUUACCAACCGUAGGCCUUAAAAUACAAUACCAUGCUUACCUUUUCUCUUUCACUUUGAAUUCAUCAUGCAUCCAAGAGUUUAAUGGCUUGCAUGUCACUAAAUCCUCUCCAAUCAAGCUUUUCUUUACUGCCACAAUACAUUUCUUAUGGUUACUAACCGAUUAUCAAAAUAUAAUCAAACCAAAACCUCAAUGCUUACCCUUGUUUCUCUUGAAACUUUGGAACCAAGCCUUCCUCUCUCCUCAAGCUCAACAAAUUAGUUCCUCUCUUGCAUGUUGAAGAUUCCUUUUUGGGUGAUGAGAUGAUAAACUCAACAGUGAAGAGUAAGGGACCCACAGUUUCCUUGAAUCUUCAUAACCCGAGCCUUCCCCACUUUCCUCUCUUUUCUUUCUCCUUUGUUUCUCUUUUCUUGCUCUCGGGUGGAGGUCUCUAAAAACACUUUCUUCUUUCUCUUCCUUUCUCAAUGGCUAGUUCUCUCAAGCUUCACCAAGGCCAAUUCACAUUUUUUUUACUCCUUGAAACUUGGUAUUUAUAUGGCCACCCAUUUAACCAAUCAAAUUGCAUGCACACGUUUGCCUUUUAUUUUUUAUUUGGCCAUUUUGCCAACCAAUAGGUUUUCAUGCACCAAUUUCCUUUCUCUCAUAAUGGUUAGUAAUCCUCUUUUACUACCCAUAUCCAUUCUUAAAUUUAUUUUCACUUAAUUCAAACCUUAUUUUGGCCCAAUGGUCUUUCAUGCAACUUUCCCACCUUAAUUUCCAUUUGGCCUCCUCCUUGGCCAAUGACAUUACAUGCAACUAUAUUUUCUCUUCUUUUAGUCUAAUUGUCACCAAGUGUCCAUCAUGCAUAAAUUUUCCAUGCAUUCUUUUAGCUUAAAAAUCCAGAUGCCUGUGUUAUCUUAUUCAUUUUGUCUUUUGCCUUUUUGUUUUUCACAUGGUGGGGUUCUCACAUGUUUCCCACUGCAAGUACAUCCUUGCAUGCAUAUCUUUUCAUGUAAUAGUAUUUGUUUACAUGCAUCUUCCAUCCUCCCACAUAAUCUAAUUUUCCUUGGUUAGUUAAUUUCCAUUUAACUUCAAAUGUUGAAAUUGCACAUAAGUCCUCAAACUUUUCCUUAUUUACCAUUUGACCAUCCAAACUUUUCAUCCUUUAUAAUUUGGUCCUUCAAACAUUUUGUAAACUACAAUUUGAUCCUUCAACUUGUUCAUAAUUAUAGCUUCACCACUUUACCUUUCAUUUUUUGUAAUUUCCACCCUUAACUUCUUAUGCUUUUCAAUUAGGUCCCCCCAUCACUCCUUUAAUUCCAAUUUUCUUUUAUUUUUCUUUCAUUACACUUGUACAAAUGAAAUAUCUAAUUGACACUUCACCAAGGUGUCACCAUAAUAUUUAAAUAUAUACUUACCCUUCCUUGCUUUAUUUAAUGAAGGCACGCGAGCCCCACUUAUGUCAUUUUUCUUCAAAAUUCUUUCUUACUUCUUCUCCCCCACUUAGAUUCGCCAUAUAGUCCUCCUUCAAGACUAAUUUCAACAAAGAUAAAAUAUUAAUAUUUUAAAUUUAUUUUAUUAAUAAAAUAUUAUUUUAGUCUAAAAUUCUCCACUUGUCUCUCGAGUUGCAAAGUGUCUCACUUUGUCCUUGUUCACUUCCAAGCCACCUUUUAACUCGCUAAUUCAUCCUCGAUUAAUUUACUAUUAUUUAAUUAUUAUUUUCUCGCGUGUAGAAUAUUUUAUUCCAAAAUAUUCCUUCCACCCGACACCGCUCUUCGGCACUUAAAUUUACGCCAAUUGGUCCUUCGUCUUAUUGAUAAGGUCCUAUUGACUCUUAUACGAGGGUACGGGGUGUUACACAUUCUGUUUUGAAAAGCAUCGAUACUCCUAUAGGAAAUAUCAACAACUAAGACUUAUUUUCUAAUUUUUUACAAUUUUUAAUCAGAUUUUAAAAUACAAAUGGUUUUAUCUUAACUGUUAAACUUUAUAAGCACUUUGUUUUUAAAGGUCAUGUUUAUUACUUUGUCUUACAUUGUGUAAAUAAAUGUUAUAAUUUGGAUUUGCCAGGAGGUGGCUUAUACUUUGAUAUUUGAAUAGCAUAUGCUUUCGCAUAUUUGAGCAUGAGAUGGUGUAAACAAAUAUUUCCUGAAAUUUGAUAAAUAUUAUAUAUGUUAAUUUAUGUGGUAAUGCAUCUCAAGAUCUAUAUUUGGAUAAUUGAAUUUGUUUUAUUUAAGGCUUGCUUGGGUUGAGUGGGAUCUUUCCCUUCAACCCUUGCAUCGGUCAUGGACCCCGAGGUUGGGUCUUGACAUCAUUAUAGCAUGAAGCUGCUCAAUUUGGCUCUAAUGCUAAUGUGAGGAAAAUGUUUAGAUUAAAAAAAAUUAUAGAAUAAUUACUUUAGUCAAACUUUUACUAGUUUUGUACCUUUUAAAAAAUAAUGUAGAGUGAGAUCAAGAUCUUGAUUCUUGGACAUCUUAGGAGCCUAUUGAUUUCCAAAACCCAUAAUGCAAAAUUGCUAUGAAAUCAAGUUGAAACCACACUUUUCAUUGUACAAGAACCUUAGCUACCAAUGGACAGUAGUUUUUCCUUAGGAGUGGGGAAUUUUCUACUUUUUGUAAUUUUCAACACACUCUUAGUGAAUUGUUGGUGUGACAUUUGGUGGGACACCCAAGCUUAUUUAUAAUCCUUUAAAGAUCAUCUAAUAACUCUCAUCAUGAUAAUCCUAUUAACAUUUUAUCAAAUGAUGUUAAUUUUGAUAUUUUUAAUUUAUCAAGAUAAAACGGUAAAACAUUAUCUUAAAUAGCUUAAUCCCAUGACCCUUAUAGGUGUUAUAUUGGUGUACGCCCUACAAGCCAAUCGGUUUUAUGCUUGUAAAAUACUGCAUUAAUUAAUUAUAUUUCAUGUCAAAUACAUUAUGGGUAUUUUAUAUAAUGUAUGAGUUAUUUCUUUAUCCAUGAGUUUAUUUAUAAAGAGUUAUGAAAGACUUAUCUAGAUAAAGUCCUUGGAACAUAAUGGUCUUGCAAAGAAAUUAUAAGGGUUAUAAUUAUAAGAUUCCUACGCAUCAAAGCCUUGUUCCUAAAUAUGUUCCUAAUCAUUGUAUUGUCAACAAUGAGGGCAUUGACAAUGCUUAAAGACUGGUAUUUGCUAAGCCUUCUUCCCUUGAAAGUAAGCAACCGAUCUCAUUGGUUGAAGUAUGUGAGAUACUUGGGGUUAGUAUGUAGGUGCUUGUUAAGGAACAAGUUCACUGAACAUGACCCACUAUGAGAGUUCCAUUUGAUAUUUCACUCAAGUAUCUGUGGAAAUACUCUCAUGUGUCAGUAGUGUAAGUAAUCCCUAGACUUGUGAUUUAGGUUAUCUUGUAUGUGAAUUGUCAUGCUUUGAUUUCAUCCCUACAGGUCUAGAGGUGACUAGAUGCCUAGACAUGGUGCUUUUGGGUAUGGCAUGAAGCAUUUGAAGAUGAACGAGUAGUCUAGGGAGGAUUCAUCACUCCAAGUGAUUUGAAGGGGACAUAUCUCACUUGUUCUUAGCUUAUAUUGACAAAAUCCUUCACUAAGGCGAUCUCGAUAGAUCUUGAUAGGUCAAUAUGAAGCUUUAGGACUAAUAUGGGAUGUCAUAAGUAGACACCAUGCCAUGCUUCAUGACAUAUGUGAAAUCCCACCUUGAGUAAGAGGA